CCUACGGGAGACAGCAGUGGGGAAUAUUGGGCAAUGGGCGCAAGCCUGACCCAGCAACGCCGCGUGAAGGAAGAAGGCUUUCGGGUUGUAAACUUCUUUUCUCAGGGACGAAGCAAGUGACGGUACUUGAGGAACAAGCCACGGCUAACUACGUGCCAGCAGCCGCGGUAAUAUGUAGGUGGCAAGCGUUAUCCGGAUUUACUGGGUGUAAAGGGCGUGUAGGCGGGUAAGCAAGUCAGAUGUGAAAACCAUGGGCUCAACCUCUGGCCUGCAUUUGAAACUGUUUUUCUUGAGUACUGGAGAGGCAGACGGAAUUCCUAGUGUAGCGGUGAAAUGCGUAGAUAUUAGGAGGAACACCAGUGGCGAAGGCGGUCUGCUGGACAUCAACUGACGCUGAGGCGCGAAAGCGUGGGGAGCAAACAGGAUUAGAUACCCUAGUAGUC
rnacentral:rRNA from 1 species